GGGGAUGACUAACUAACGGCGAAGGACAAUUGACGGGAAAUCAUUAAGUUUGUAAAUAAACUCAUUUCUAAUUCAUAUGCCAUAAGGUAGUUUAAUACAAACUCAAAUGAUUGUUUAGAACGUACAGUCGAGGUAACCCAAAAUGAACUGGAGACGCCGUCGGGAGAUCCGGGAACAGUUUUCUUUUCUGUAUAAGUGUUCGAGUUCUCUGGAAAUCUUUAGCAGGGAGAUAGGGUUUGGAACGCGAAGAGCACCGCAAUUGCGGCGGUGUCCGGAUCUUCCCCUCGGAUCUUGGAAAAAUCCAGGAGAGGGUCGUACCCAUAUCUGCAGCAGAUCUCCAAGGUAAAGAGCUUCU
rnacentral:ncRNA from 1 species